rnacentral:rRNA from 1 species
AAUCUUGCGCAUUGGGCGAAAGCCUGACGCAGCCAUGCCGCGUGGAUGAUGAAGGUCUUAGAUUUGUAAAUUUCUUUCACCGGGGACGAUAAUGACGGUACCCGGCGAAGAAGCACCGCCUAACUUCGUGCCAGCAGCCGCUGUCAUACGAAGGGGGCUAGCGUUGCUCGGAAUUACUGGGCGUAAAGGGCGCGUAGGCGGACAUUUAAGCCAGGGGUGAAAUCCCAGAGCUCAACUCUGGAACUGCCUUUGAUACUGGGUGUCUUGAGUGUGAGAGAGGUAUGUGGAACUCCGAGUGUAGAGGUGAAAUUCGUAGAUAUCCGGAAGAACACCAGUGGCGAAGGCGACAUACUGGCUCAUUACUGACGCUGAGGCGCGAAAGCGUGGGGAGCAAACA